UGGGAACACUGAUAAACCCAGAGGCGAAAUGAAAGUGAAAGGCCGGCCUCGAGCCGGUCGCAGGGAAGAUGCGCGGGCGUCGUCAGACGCCCCGCCGCAUUCCCGAGGCGUUUCGAGAAAGCCCCCGUGUGAUUAUCGAGACGCACUGAGAGCGUACACGCUGGGACCCGAAAGAUGGUGAACUAUGCCUGGUCAGGUCGAAGUCAGGGGAAACCCUGAUGGAGGACCGAAGCGAUUCUGACGUGCAAAUCGAUCGUCCGAACUGGGUAUAGGGGCGAAAGACUAAUCGAACUAUCUAAUAGCUGGUUCCAUCCGAAGUUUCCCUCAGGAUAGCUGGCGCUCGAGAAACAUGACGGUUUUCGGACCGCCAUUCGCACAGUCUCAUCCGGUAAAGCGAAUGAUUAGAGGCAUUGGGGCCGAAAUGGCCUCAACCUAUUCUCAAACUUUAAAUGGGUGAGAUCUCCUUCUUGCUCGAAGAUGAAGUAGGAGCUCGGAUGGGAGUGCCAAGUGGGCCAAUUUUGGUAAGCAGAACUGGCGCUGUGGGAUGAACCAAACGUCGAGUUAAGGCGCCCAAUGAACGCUCAUCGGAUACCAUAAAAGGCGUUGGUCGCUCAGGACAGCAGGACGGUGGCCAUGGAAGUCGGA
rnacentral:rRNA from 1 species